UCGCUCAGGCCUCUCCUCAGAAUCACGACCUAAUCUUUCGCCUUUUACUAAAGAUUACCGUGGGGAGGGGCAUUUCAAUGAGCUUAGGCCAAUUUUUGAAAGGCCACUACCGUAUGGUAG
rfam:Ixodes scapularis strain Wikel colony gcontig_1107728845258, whole genome shotgun sequence.